UACGAAGGGGGCUAGCGUUGCUCGGAAUCACUGGGCGUAAAGCGUGCGUAGGCGGUUUGUUAAGUCCGCUGUGAAAGCCCUGGGCUCAACCUGGGAAUUGCAGUGGAUACUGGCAAGCUAGAGUGCGGUAGAGGAUGGUGGAAUUCCCGGUGUAGCGGUGAAAUGCGUAGAGAUCGGGAGGAAUACCGAUGGCGAAGGCAGGUCUCUGGGCUGACACUGACGCUCAUGCACGAAAGCGUGGGGAGCAAACAGG
rnacentral:rRNA from 1 species